rnacentral:rRNA from 1 species
AUACAUGCAGUCGAGCGGCAGAUGGGAGCUUGCUCCCUGAUGUCAGCGGCGGACGGGUGAGUAACACGUGGGUAACCUGCCUGUAAGACUGGGAUAACUCCGGGAAACCGGGGCUAAUACCGGAUGCUUGAUUGAACCGCAUGGUUCAAUUAUAAAAGGUGGCUUUUAGCUACCACUUACAGAUGGCCCCGCGGCGCAUUAGCUAGUUGGUGAGGUAACGGCUCACCAAGGCAACAAUGCGUAGCCGACCUGAGAGGGUGAUCGGCCACACUGGGACUGAGACACGGCCCAAACUCCUACGGGAGGCAGCAGUAGGGAAUCUUCCGCAAUGGACGAAAGUCUGACGGAGCACCGCCCCGUGAGUGAUGAAGGUUUUCGGAUCGUAAAACUCUGUUGUUAGGGAAGAACAAGUACCGUUCGAAUAGGGCGGUCCCUUGACGGUACCUAACCAGAAAGCCACGGCUAACUACGUGCC